UAGUUUUUGAGGAGAAGAUUUUUGUAAAAGUUAACGACGACGGACGACGAUGGACGACGACGGACGCCGGACGCCGGACGCCAAGUGAUGGGAAAAGCUCACUUGGCCAUUCGGGCCAGGUGAGCUAAAAAGGGUAUGAUUGCCAAUGAGACUAAUAAUCAUAAAAGACCAAACAUUUAAGCAACUUUUUUUUUAAACUUAGAAAUAUUCUCUAUUUUUUUUUUGAGCUGUGUGGACUGAUAAAUGACUUAGGAAAGAAUGAUGAGAUUAAGCUAUCUGAAUCAACCUGUUCUCCCCCACCCCCCCUGCAAAUUUUUUAUAAUAUCUUACAAUACUUGUUUAAUUAUGUUAUAGACAAAAUUUAACUUAAAUGACCACAAACAAUAAAUAAAUAAAUCAUAACACAUGUAUGACUUUGGUUGUAAUAGAAAAAAUAAAUACAUGGAUUCAUAUACAUAUUCUUGUAGCAGCCAUCUGGGAGAUUUUUUCAAGUAUUUCCUAAUGCUGGACCCAUUGCAGAUUACCUACUAUAUAUUAACCUAGGAUUAAUUUUAAAUCUAUUUCAAGAGAGGUCAAAUAAGUUAUCAAGAAUUAAAUUAAAUAUUAAAAUAAAUGGAUUUCAUUUACAAGAAUAAUCUCAUCAAAUUCAUUUUGUAAAAAAACAAAAAAAAACAUAAUUAAUUUUAUGCAAACAAUUCAAUAAUUAUUUUUGAUUAUUUAUUUUCAGGAAGCUCAAUUUUUAUUUGUGUUAAGAAAACAUUUGUGCUUCUUGUUUCAUUCCUCGAAAACUUUCAAUAUGCUGAAUUGAAAUGAGGUCCACAAGUCUUUUAACAACUAAAAUUUUUGUUUUGCAAUGAAUAAUUUGCCACACAAAUGUCACAAGACCUAAACUUUGGGAUGCAUCUCUUUGUAACAAAUUACAGUGAGUUGCUUAUAGGUGUUACUGUAAAACUUUACCUAUAGCUCAUGCUGU
rnacentral:lncRNA from 1 species